rnacentral:rRNA from 1 species
UAGGGAAUCUUCCGCAAUGGGCGAAAGCCUGACGGAGCAACGCCGCGUGAGUGAUGAAGGUCUUCGGAUCGUAAAACUCUGUUAUUAGGGAAGAACAAAUGUGUAAGUAACUAUGCACGUCUUGACGGUACCUAAUCAGAAAGCCACGGCUAACUACGUGCCAGCAGCCGCGGUAAUACGUAGGUGGCAAGCGUUAUCCGGAAUUAUUGGGCGUAAAGCGCGCGUAGGCGGUUUUUUAAGUCUGAUGUGAAAGCCCACGGCUCAACCGUGGAGGGUCAUUGGAAACUGGAAAACUUGAGUGCAGAAGAGGAAAGUGGAAUUCCACGUGUAGCGGUGAAAAGCGCAGAGAUAUGGAGGAACACCAGUGGCGAAGGCGACUUUCUGGUCUGUAACUGACGCUGAUGUGCGAAAGCGUGGGGAUCAAACAGG